UACGUAGGGUGCAAGCGUUGUCCGGAAUUAUUGGGCGUAAAGAGCUCGUAGGCGGUUUGUCGCGUCGGCUGUGGAAAACCCGGGGCUCAACCCCGGGCCUGCAGCCGAUACGGGCAGACUAGAGUUCGGCAGGGGAGACUGGAAUUCCUGGUGUAGCGGUGAAAUGACGCAGAUAUCAGGAGGAACACCGGUGGCGAAGGCGGGCAUCCUGGGCCGAACUGACGCUGAGAGCGAAAGCUGGGGAGCAAACAGGG
rnacentral:rRNA from 1 species